rnacentral:rRNA from 1 species
ACGGAAGGUCCGGGCGUUAUCUGGAUUUAUUGGGUUUAAAGGGAGCGUAGGCCGGAGAUUAAGCGUGUUGUGAAAUGUAGAUGCUCAACAUCUGCACUGCAGCGCGAACUGGUUUCCUUGAGUACGCACAAAGUGGGCGGAAUUCGUGGUGUAGCGGUGAAAUGCUUAGAUAUCACGAAGAACUCCGAUUGCGAAGGCAGCUCACUGGAGCGCAACUGACGCUGAAGCUCGAAAGUGCGGGUAUCGAACAG